UUUUUGUGAUCUUGAAGAAUGCCAAGUUGAAAAACAAGGUCUCACUGCCAGUUUGGAAUUUGGCACCAGAUUUUGAGUCGGAAGCUAUUCUUAAUUGGGAGUUUAUUAAGGCGUCAUGCGUAGUGAAAUAACUGAUUAAACAAAGCAGGAUGCUUGUUGUGAUAUAAUGAUUGAAAAAUCAAGGAGAAGCUAUAUCAAUGGAUCUUGAGACAACAUAAGGAAGGAUCGAGAGUAUCAGUAGCUGAUAUAGUUGUCCAUCUGCAGGAAAAUGGACAUUCUUCUACAUAUACUUGGAUUUUGAGCACAAGCUGGUGGGAAGAUGCAGCUCCUAUUAAUCAAGAUGUUGUUCUUUUUGUGGGAUUCUUAUGCACUUGCUUAUUUGUAGGCUUUAUUUAUAUUAAUAGGUGAUGAUACUCUUAAUAUUCAAUUGUCCCAUGAAAGUUUAUUAAUGGAUGUGUUGGAUGUAUUUUCUUUGCAGUAGUAAUUAAAUAUAGAUGCUGAUUGUGACCUUUUGGAAGCCAAAUUUGAUGUUAUUGAGUAUUAGUCACACACAAUUAGUUUUAAUAGGCUCAAAGAGCUGCAAUCCCUUUAGCAUAUUAUUAGCCAACAUCAAACAUCAGACUGUGAAUUUGUAUGCUUGUACUUUCCUUUCCAUUAGUUUCAAUGCAGUUCAAAGUUAUAUAAAGAAUUCAUAUGACUUCACCAGAGAAACUACUUUGAAUUUUGAAAACUACAUAUAUUUAACCUUCAGGAAUUUUGAUUUUAUUGAUUAUUUGAUUCCA